AGGUUACCAGUUUAAAUGGCAGGGCCCCAUGUCUGGAUUUGAAAGGUGAGCGAUUAGACCACCUUUCCUGCGAGGCUCUGGAAGUCAUACUGAAAUCACUGAGCUUUGAUUUCAUCAAUCUGCAAGCGGCAGAGCUGGAGGAAAAUGGAGCAUCAUCCUUGCUGGAUAUGAUUUUGUAUUAUGAAUCUACCCCCCAUCUUGACAUCUCUGACAACACCGGCAUGGGGAUAUCUGGUUGGAAGGCCCUCUCUCAUUUGAU